AGUUGGUUAGUUAAAAUAAUAACAGGCGCCUGUCAUGCCCCCUUUGCUGCCAAGCACCAACUU
rnacentral:tRNA from 1 species